rnacentral:lncRNA from 10 species
AUGCAGCAGCCAAUAUGGUGGUACCAGCUCAGAUUGAUUCUUUAUGAUCCCCAAAUCUCCCCUGGAUAGAAGAUGCUUGUGUUUCAAUUCAUCCCACCAAAAUGGAAAAUCGUUUUGGUUGAGGCUGCUCUGCUGUUGCUUGGCUACUGUCUCUAAACUCACUAUCUUCUAGGAACAAGGAUGACAUGCUACUCAAGACGAAACAAAUGACUCAACAGCAGGCAGUGGAACUAAAAUAGGAUACCAAAGGUGGAGGCGCCAUCUUGCCACUUGGAAAACAAAAUCCAUGAGCCAAAGGAGAUGGAACAGAAGGAUGAAAGGAGCCAGGCUCUUGAUCACUCCCUUGAACAACUUCACCAGCCCUGGUCCAUCUAAUCCCUGGAAAAAAUAAUUA